CUCUGUGCGCCAAUACACUUACGAGGAUGAAUUGAGGACAGCCAAUCAACGAUUCACACCAGGAGCUAUGGGCGGUAUAGCGGUCGGAAUGAUCGUGUUAGGCGGCCUCCUCGGCUCUGGGAUUUCAUUCUUCGUCUUCAAGUCAUAGAACAUCAACACGGCAAUCUCUGUCACUGUGUCUGCGAUGAGGAGUUUGUCAACAUGAUUUGGCUGUUUACAAUGACGUCCGCCUCUUCGUCUAAUGGGCUAUAAUAUGCCAGCCAAUGGAAGAACUGUUAGCGAUAUCGUAGACUCAUAUAGGCCUAUCAUUGCACUGUAAAAUUUUAAUAGUUUUUGUAUUGUGUGUUAUAUUGAUGCCAUGUAUUUCGUUUAGUAUAUAUAUAUAUGAAGAGUUUAGGCGCAAAACGCGAUAUAUCCAUU